AACGAACGCUGGCGGCAUGCCUAACACAUGCAAGUCGAACGAGCCCUUCGGGUCUAGGGGCCCACGGGUGCGUAACGCGUGGGAACCUGCCCUUAGGUUCGGAAUAACUCUCCGAAAGGGGUACUAAUACCGGAUAAUGUCUUCUGCCCAAAGAUUUAUCGCCCUGGGAUGGGCCCGCGUGGGAUUAGCUAGUUGGUAGGGUAAAAGCCUACUAAGGCGACGAUCCAUAGCUGGUCUGAGAGGAUGAUCAGCCACACUGGGACUGAGACACGGCCCAGACUCCUACGGGAGGCAGCAGAGGGGGAUAUAGGACAAUGGGCGAAAGCCUGAUCCAGCAAUGCCGCGUGAGUGAUGAAGGCCUUAGGGUUGUAAAGCUCUUUUACCCGGGAUGAUAAUGACAGUACCGGGAGAAUAAGCCACGGCUAACUCCGUG
rnacentral:rRNA from 1 species